AGUCCAUUCUGGGAAGCAUCAAUAGUUUAAGGUACUGUUAUAGUACUUUCUGUAGAGUUCUGCAACUGUCCUUUCAUGAAAAACAAGUCCUACUUAUAGCAGAGCCUUCAGAUAAGCAUCUGCAGGAAGCAGACACCUGUAUGUCAUGAGACCAAAUAGAGGUCCCCAAAUCAUCAGACCGUAUCAGCAAAUUUCCAAUCAUUGCUGCCAUUAGUGGGGAAUAAUUGAUUGGUCUUGCAUGAACCAGAAACAAAAACUUAACCACAAAAUAAGGAAGAAAAAAAACACCGGAAUCAGUAAAGUUAGUUUUAUCACUGCUUGAAAUUCACUCUGGAAGUGAAGAAAAGAUGAGUCUGGCUUAAGCAACCCAUGGAUGCACUUCUCAAGCAAGGCAGUUAAUUGGCUCUGUCAGAAAUUAUUUGCAUCUCCACCAGAGAAAACCCACAAGUGAAUCUCCCCCAUGGAAUGGUGAAACAGCCCAGUGAGGAGGAAGUCAAUGGAAGGUGCAAGCCAAGCACUGCUCUGAAAGAGCACGUAGAAAUCUCUUUUUUCUUGUGGUAGGAUUAAGGUUAUAAAGACAAAUAAGAAGUUCUCAUUUAUCAUGUAAUAGUUUAUUGUUGUGAGUACAUUUGAGCCAAUUCUAGUGACCCUGUGGACAGCAGAGAGUGUGACAGGCUCUUAACAUCAGCCCUGAUACUUCCCCCACAUUGAACCCAGCCUACAUGGGGUUAAAACUAAAACC